AUCAUUUUCUCAUCAUUUCUCUUUUCUUUUCCACCUGAAAACCGAGAGAGGAUGGCGACUGCAGUUCAGAGAGAAUUCAUGGGGAGAUUGAAACUGAAUCUGCUGCAAUUGAAGUUAGGUUUGAUUUGAAUUCGAAUCUGGUGUUAUGUUAAAGGUUGUUGUUGCCAGAAAUGAAGAUUGAGGGAGGAAAUACAAAUCAAAUCGUAGAUAGAGAAGAUGAUACUGCCAUAGAUUGAUGGAAGAAUCGGAUCUGCUAUUGUUGGUGGCAAAUUGGAAGAGUUGGUGAAGAUUAAUGGCAAUUCAGAGCUUAUGAAGGAUAAUAGAGAUGGGGUUUUGAUGAAUUUACCUCCAAGAGCAGGGAAUGAAAAAAUUGAGAUGAAUUUGAUGGUUAGGGUUUGCCUUGAAUUUGUGGUCUGCUGUAAAGAUUGAGAAGUUGUUACUGAUGGAGUUUGAAUGAGAUGCCAGGGAGACAACAAAGAUGAACUGGAGCUAAAUCAGUUGCAGGUGCAGUUCAAGGAGAAAAUGAAGAAACUACAGAUACAGAUGCUUCCAUGGAUGUAUGUUAGGACACAGGGUCUUGGCAGUGACAAGUUGGAAGCUGAGAUAGUUCUGAAUCUAAGAAAAAAUGAACUGGGUGAAUGAGAUUGUAAAUGGGGUUUGCUGUGAUUUGUUGAUGCUGGUAAUUGUCAUGGGUUGAAUGGAAGGUGCAGCUAUGUAGAAGAAGGUUAUCACAACUGAAGAUUCAUGGGCACUGUAUAAAGAAGCACAAGUGGUGGCUGCUCUCAGUCUUGGAGAUUAUGGAGUUACAAGGAACAUGGGUUUUGACUGAGAUGGAUAAUGGGAGACGAAGUUCAGAGUUUGAACUGAUUGCAGGAACUGGAGUUGCUCAAAUGGCAAGGUUACAAGGAGAAGCUGAGUUGAGCUGAUAUAUUGCAGGUUGUUGUGCUAACUGGAUUAUGGAGUAACUUUGAAGCAUAAAAUGGUUGUGGACUGCAGAGUAGUCAAGGCUGAUGCUGCUGUUGGUAUUGCGAGCAGUUUGUGCAGGAAAUUGAAUUGGUGAUGCAUGAAAUGGAGCUACAGAUUAUUAGUAGGCUGCAAAUGGAAUGAAGUGAAACAAUGAACCUUAGAUAUAUGUUAGGAUGAAUUCGCAGGGUCACUUACUAGUAAGUCUGUGAGAAGAGGGUAAAGAUGGUUGUGUGCAGUGAGGCCAUGGAAGAUUGCGAAGUAUCUGAAAUGAGAAUGACGUUGGUAGAAUGAGCUGCAGACAGUGGUGAGCUGAUACUGAUCAAUGAUUGAAGCUAAUGGGUAAUGUUGAAUGUGGGUUUUAAUCUCAAUUCAGGGAAGACAGGUUAAGGAUGUGCUGCAGAUAGUGCUGGCAGCUUGGCUGUGUUGCAGAAGUUAGGAUAUGCUGAUGGUUAAGGGCAUGCUGUUGGUGUUUGAAGCCAGGAAUGGAGUUAGUUGAGUCUGAUGCUAAACUAGAGCUGAGCGCUAGUCAUGGUCCGAAAACUGCAGAAUGGAUGUGGUGCAGGAAUUAAAUGUUGUUGUUACAGGGUACUAUCUUGAUGCAGAGAGCCUGAGAUGUUAGUAAGGGAAUGACAGAAGUAUGGCUGGAGUGUUGUGCAGUGUGGUGCUGUGUUGAGCUAUUGGAGCUGUUAAUGAAGCUACAGAUGAUGCAGGAAAUGGUGAAUUGCAGCUAGAACGGCUGCGCUGCAGAUCAUGGUAUUGAUGGUUUGAGGUUGUAGAAUUAAGCUUGAAUGGAUGUAUGAACUGAAUGCAGGGAAGAUGGUUACAAAGAUUGUGUGGAUUCAGGGUCGAAACUCAACUGAAAUGGCUCGAAAAUGUUGCAAGAUUUGUAGUAUGAAGGGCAAUCAUGGCUGGCGGUGAAGCACAAUGAUGGUGCACCACAAGAUGGCUGGCCAAGGAGCUGUGAUGCACAAUCAUUGUGCAACACAGUUUAUGGCAUGUGCAAGAUUGCAAUGGCUUUGGCCUUGGCCACUCAGCCCAUUCAGCCCAGCUGAGUCUGACUUGUCAUCUAACUCAUCUAUCUGAUUCACCUUGACUCGGUUGACUUGACCGAGUUGACUUGUUGACCCGACCGAGUUGACUCGUUGACCAGGGACCAGGUGGACUUUGCCGAUCACCUGAGCUGUUUUCCGGUCAGUUUUUCGGCCGAUUUCCGACCAGUUUCCGACGUUAAUUUUUGGACAUAUUUUCUACAUGGGUUCUCCACACACAUGGGCUUGGUGGACUUCUUGGUGAUGGGCUUUUGAAGACUUGACCUAAGAAGAGCUACAAAAAGAAAAGUUUUUUACUUUCUUAAGAAUUACGUAUUAUUUUCUAUUUGGAACUUUGGAGAGCGGCUAUACAACUAGGGUUUGCUUUCGUUUAUUUUUCAUCUUCUUCAAUUAUUUUAUGAUGAUGAUUAUGAUGAACUCUAUUAUUAUGAGUAACUAAACUCAAUUAUUGGUUAUGGGAUAAA